GCGGGUUUAGCUCAGUUGGGAGAGCGUCAGACUGAAGAUCUGAAGGUCAUGUGUUCAAUCCACAUAACCCGCA